GUUGAUUCUCUUCUCAGUUCUCAGCGCAUCCCCCUGAUGUUUGGGCUAGCUCUGGGUCGCACUGUGUGUUCACCGUAUCAUUUCGUCUUCGUUUUUCUCGAGGUCAGAUGGGAAUUUGAGAUAGGGUGAGCUCAUGGCGGAGAGGUCCACGGGGAUUCCUUAUCGGGCGGUCACCGACUGAGCGGUGGCUUGCCGGGAUGGAAGCCAUGUCCGCCGCCGCGGAGAGAGGUUCUUCUCUGAUUUUUUUUUUUGCUUUGUCUGCUCUCUCAUUUGUUCGCCGGUGAUCAGAUGUGUUGUUCAGAUGUGGUGGUCUUGUCCAGCGUCAGAUUGUUUUCCGAUGUACUAAAGCUCGAGGGCUGCGUAUUCGUGACCACGAGGUCAUCACCGGCUUGGUCCUAUUCAGGUGGCGCCGUGGCGGGUUGCGGAUCCAGUCACUGGAUGGAGGCGGAGGUGAGGCUCUGGUGUCCGUGUGUGUUUCAGUCUCUGCUCUCUCAUCUUUUAUUCUGUUUGAUUUGUGCCCAGGAGCUCCGUGGCUUGGGCGGUUCGUAUUUGCUGCUCCCGUAUGUGGUUUUCCAUUUCAGUUCCUCGACUAGGAGAUAAAAUAGAUGAGUACAACUUCAUGCUCGUCUGCUAGAGGAUUAACCAAGAGGUUGGUAGGAUAUUUUGAGUUCUUCUCAUUGCCCUUACUUUUAGAGUCUUCACCCCCUUUCGCGUGUGUGUUUUUCUAAACAUUUUUGUGCCUCUAUAUGUUCCUCUACUAUUCUGAUAUACUAGAUUGAAUUUGUGAACCUGUGUUGUAUGAAUUGAUGAACCUUUGUUACACUUUGUAGUAAUCCGUGGUUGAAUGUUUAGCUCAAUUGUUUGUGCAGAUAAUAUGAUAGUACUUUUUUCUUGGUGAAGAUUUAUUAUAUGAGUUUGUGAACCUGUGUGUUUCACUGUCAGAUUGUAGAGAGCAUUUUAGCUCUGAAUUUUACUGAACGUGCAUUGGAGAUGAGUCUGUGACUGUUUAGCUCAAUUGUUUGUGCAGAUAACCCACGAUUUUUAAGUGAAAGCGACAACCUUCAUUUUUUCCUGUGAUUGUGUGUUAGAGCAUGUACACAUUUGAUGCACAUGUUUGUCACGAUAAGUUGCCUAUGAUGUGUUUUUCGAACAUGGCGAAUAGAUAAUAUUUCAGCAUCUUCACUCAAGAAGUAGCAUCUAUUUUUACUACCCGGAACAAUUUUCCAUCACAUCCAAACACACAAUUAGUUGUCAUGUAUGCACACGAAUAAAUUCUGUAAUCCAAGGAGUGUGGAUAAGAAAUCUUACUGCCUUAGAACUCCUGUUCAUGUACACAUGAUCAUGAAUCGACCGAGCGUGUUUUUCUGACGUGCGCUCUAGUUGUGGACACUCUAGUGAAUUUGUUUCGAACUAAGUGUCUAGUCAUAGCCUCAUAGAAUGUAUAGCUAUCACUAGGAGAUCUAUAUCUAAAAAAUAGUGUUCAUAAUUAAUUAUCAGGGAUGUGUAACAAUUCUGACAAGGUACGACAAUGUCACUGCUAAUUUGGAGAUGCGUGCACACACUAUUAGAUGAGUUAAAUGUGUAAUAUUUACUUGUUAUAUCUUUUUUCAGUCCCUCAGUUUCAUUGUUUUUCAUUCUCUCUCUUUGUUCAUUCUCGAUUUAGUAUCACCUUUCCAGUCACUUAGUUCUUCAAUUUCUUCUUUUCUCUUCAACAUUUAAUGUAGUGAGUUCCUCGGUUUCUUUUUUCAGUCCUCAGUUUCUUAGCUCCUCGGUUUCUAAUUUUUUCAGUUAGCCUAUGUUCUUCAAUUAUCAGUCUCUCAUUGUUUAGUCUCCUUAUUUAGUUUCUCAUUUGAUUGUCGUAAGUCUCUCAUUAAUCCAUCACUCAUUUUCUUGGCAUUUCACUUAGUAUCUUAGUUUUUCAGUUGUGGCUCAGUUUGUUUGUUAAGUCUCUCAGUUCAUCUUAAUUGUUUCCCAGUAUUAAAUUUGCUCAGUCAUAUUUUCUCAGUCCUCUCGAUCUCUCUAUUCUUGUUUACUUAUUCAUAUUUGUUCCUCACUUCAUGUUCUCAUUUAUCACAGUCUCAGUUCCAUGUAUCUAAUUUUUAUUCUCAGUUUCUCAGUCUCGUCUUCUAUGCUUAGCCAAUUUUUGCUCAGUUCUAUAUUAUCUCAUUUUAUUAGUAUCUUUGUAUUGUGUAUUUUAGUCAUUCCAUAGUGUGAGAUAUCUCUAAUGUGAGAGACUUCAAUGUUGUAUUUUUUCAGCUAAUCUUUAGUUCAUACUUUCAUUCUUGUUUUAGCUUCAAUGUUUCAGUCUCCUGAGUAUUUUAGUUUCUCACUUACUACCCUCAUUAUUUCAUUGUUUCAGUCCUUUAAUUUUUUUAUUAUCCCAAAACUAGUCUCUCUAUUAUUCUUUUGUAUUUAUUUCAGUUCGUCACUAAUUUAUUCCAUCAUUACCAUGUAUUCAUUUUUUCAGUUAGCAUUCAGCCUUCAGCCUUCAGUUAGCAUUCGCCACCACCUUGUAUUCCUCACUAGCUAGAUCUACUCUAACGUACGGUGGGGGUUGCUCGUUUCCUUCCGUACGCCACUCUCAUUUUAUUAAUAUAUUUUGUUAGUGCACAUCAACUGUUUGAUACUUGUCUCUUGCAAUUGGUAUGGCAUCACCGAUGGGCUCAUGGCGUUACACGUGGCUGUGGUGUAAGGGAUUAGCGGAAUGGGUCUUACCAGCUGUCCCCACAGCUUCUCAUAGGCUGCCAUGAACUAGGUUAGUAGUUUUCACCAUGUCAAUGUCAUCUUAGUUCAACUCUGUCUAGUGUUCUGUAUUUUUUAUGGAGUUUAUAUUUAAUUCAACAUUGUCUUUAUUAAGUUGUUUCCAUGUUUUUACAUGCACACAUGUGAAGAUGGAAUGUGUUGUGGGCAAAAGCACUGAUGCAUCAUGCAGUAAAGGAAUAACAGAUUAGACAUGGUGCAUGGCGGCAAUACAUGUUUGUUCUAUAUAUCUUAGUUCUAUUUGCUUUUGUGUCGUGAACUCAUUUUUUGUUUCUUUGACGUCUACAGAUUGUCCCAUGUUAUGUAAGGGGGGAGGGAAAACUCUAUUUACAAUGGACCCAACAACAUGUAUUAUGUGGAUAUGGUAAAUGGAGAGGAUUACACAUUCAACAUGCAGAAGUUCGCAACCAAAACCUGCAUAUCUAGGCACGAGAGGGAGAGGUUUAUGUCUGAUUUCAAAAUGGAAGCUAGUGAAUUUUUCAUUUUCAAGUUUAGUCGCAAUGCUGCUGAACCCGUUCAAAUCACACCAUGUGAUGAGAAAUGGGACAGUAAAGGAAAUGCAAUUGCUCAAAAUUCAUCAUCAGAAGAGAGUGACAUAGAAAACCCUAGACUUAAAUAAUUUUGAACCGCUUCCGUCAACAAUAAGGACUUUUGUCAUGUGCCCUUUGUUUUAGUUCCAAGACUUCUAAAAAAAAUUACCAACGGGUGAAUGAUCCCUCCCAUGACUAUACGUUGUUAGAUAAGAUAUGUGAGGUGCUUUUUUUUUAGCAUGAGUAGCACCCCUUAGGAGUCUGCGCAAACGAACUCAGGAUGGGCGGAUUCAGCACCUUGAACUCCAAGACUUUUGUCUCAUUAUUUUCCUUUUUCCUUUUAUUGUUUUAAGUUUGUAAUUGCCAGACGUGGGCUAGAUUAUUCCUGAAACUUACGGAGUAUGCUUGAUUUCUCAUGGUUUUUACAUUUGGUUUAAGGCUUGUCUAUGUGUCUUUUUGUGUUGUUUUGUUUGCCGGUGCGCUCUCAUCAGUUUCUUGCGCAGUACAAUCUGGUUACUUUUGCAGCAGACCUGAAGAAGCAUAUUUUGGACCGCAAUUGUCAUUGCAGCAGCUCCAGAACUGCAUCUAAACGAGAGUGCUCGGAGAAAUUGAUGUUAAUCAAGAUCACUGGGAGUUUUGGGACCAUACAUAAAACCUCAAUGUAUCUCCAAUUCCAACGUCUCGAUCUCCCACGGUUUUUGCUUGGAUCAUGGACGAGGCGAUGUCGCGGCCUUUUUCGUCGAUCGUGUGCUUGGAGCAGGUGAUAUAGUUUUCUUGCUGGAGAAGAUCUAAACAUGUUUGUCUAGGCUUAGAGGGGAUGUGCUUGAGUGUGACGAGAUGGGAUUUUUGAGUCAGGCUUUCAGUGUCUUUGUCUUCAGUAUUAUGGUCUUCUGGCCUUUGUGAAAAGAAGCCGUUACAACGGAUACUGAAGACUCAAAACUGGGAAAGCUUACCGGUGGGCUGAACUAAAAUGUAUCUGUUUUGUCUGGACGAAACAGACACUUUUCUAAUGGAGGAUUAUUCAUUGAGUUU